CCGCGCCCGGCGCUCCGUCGCGCACCGUCCACCUUUCCGGGCGGCAUUAGUACACAAUAGUCGGCUCGCGGCAUUUAAGCUUGCCGUGUUCCUGCAAGUUGUCACCCGUAGAAACAGCCUUCCCCGGGGCGGCCUCGAAGCUCCUGCGGAGUGACGGGAAGAGGCUGGUGGAGGGGAGGGGGAGACAAGGAAGACUUUAAUUUUAAAGAAAGACUUUCGCCCUCGCGACCUCCCCCGCACUCAUCUCAGGAUAGAAACGCCCCUUGACUGAGCUAAUGGUGUUGUGUUAAAGGAAAGAGAUGGUUUUUCUUUUAAAUGUAACAGUUUCUUCCUUGUGAGGUAACGCGGGACCAGUGCGUACCCAGAAUUCCCGAGGUCUCGCGUGGCGUGUUUCCGGUUACUGUGCUCUCGCGGCAGCGGCAGGGCGAGGCUCGGACGACCGGCAUCCGCUUCUCUCAGUCCCCGGUCUGGCGGGCUUGUCACCCGUUGCCCGUUUCUCUCAGCAAAUUAACAGUUUCCUAGUAUUUUGUGAUUGUAAGAAGAACACUGCUUUUUAAAAAAAUGCCUACUUCCUGCAACUGUCCAGUAUUUUUUGGCAUCCCUUAAAUUUUACAUUAAGGGCAGAUGUCUCACUCGCCAGGCUUCCUCACCCUAGACCUGGUCCUACCAUGAAGAGUCAACUUACUUCACAGAUUAACAUGGUGUCUGACUCAAACAAUUUUAGAUAUUAGAAGAGAUCAGCCAGAUUUCAGAACAAGGAUAAAAAUUAUUUCCAUGGGAAGAUCUCAGUAUACUCCACAAAUAGGUAAUUCUUGUUAUUCUGUUUUACUAGUGUUGAAAUAGACACCCAGAGAUUAUAUCACUGCCACACGUCACAAAUCAGCAAAUAGUAGCCGAAGCAGCAUAGUAAUAGAAUCUGCAAGUCUUGUCUUACACUCCUGUGUCUAAGCACACUGGUAUAUCUCCUGGGCAAUUAUGCAGGUCUGUGCUGGGUGAUCAUCCAUAAACUCCAGAGGAUGGUGCCACUGACCUUUCAAAACUUGCCUCAUUCCUUGAGUAAUUGAUACGUCCUCAGGCCUUACUAGCUUGUGACCUCAGAACAAGGCCACGCAGCUUAAUAUCCAAACUGCAGCUCUGAGCCUCUGGAGUUGGGAAGUCUGUUCCUCUGCUGGAUCCACACUUUCCUCCCCACCUCCCACAAAUCCAAGGAGUGUUUAGGAGUUACUUUUCAUCUCCAUCAGUCCGUCACUUGCAUGGGCCUCCUCCAAGGCCCUGGAAGAAGCCCUGGCAGUAUAUUCAAAUGGGUGUAUGAUUUUAUAAAAUUUGUAAAUAUUUUAAUAGCAAUCAGUUGACUUCUGUCUCUUUCUACCACUUCUGCUCCUUUGCACUCUCCUGUAUAGUGUGGUACUGGAACAGCUUUUUGUAGGAUCUGGCUAGGAGGAAGGUAAAUACUAUACUAUAUGUAUAUGUUCCUCAAAAAUAUUUUUUAAAAAGAAAGUUAAGUUGGAAAUAUGCUAUUUUUAGCAGGUUUAAUGCCAGAUGUUAUUGACAUACAAUAAAGGCACAUUUUUAAAGUGUACAAUUUGGUAAGUUUUGACUUAUGUAUAGCAGGAGAAACCAUCACCAAAUCAAGAUAAUGAACAGACCCAUCACACUCAAAGAUUUCCUCAUGCCUCUUUGUAAUUCCUCGUUCCUGCCUUCACUUCCAUCCCCAGGAAACCAUUGGUCUGCCUUCUGUCAGUAUAGAUUAGUUUGCAUUUUCUAUAAUUUUUCUAUAAAUGGAAUCAUACAGUAUGUACUCCUUUUUGUCUGGCUUUUUUCAUUCAACAUAGUUAUUUUGGGAUUCAUCCAUGUUGUGUGUAUCAGUAGUUUUUUCUUUUCUUUGCUAAAUAGUAUUCCAUUUUAUGGAUAUGUUACAAUUUCCUUAUCCAUUCUGCUGUUGAGAGACAUUUGGAUUGUUUCCAGUUUGGAACUAUUACAAAGCUGCAUUGAACAUUUGCAUAUAAGUCUUUGCAUGAACAUAUGCUUUCAUUUCUCUUGGCUGAAUACUUGGAAGUAGAAUGACUGUGUCAGAUGGUAGGUAUAUAUUUAAUUUUUAAGAAAUUGCCAGGUCUUCCAAAGUGGUUGUAUCAUUUUACAUUCCCACUAGCAAUGUAUGAAAGUUCUAGUUGAUCCAUAUCCUUGCUAGUACUUAGUAUGGUCAGCCUUUUAUUUUAGCCAUUCUAAUAAAGGUAGUGGAAUCUCACUAUGAUUUUAAUUUAUAUUUUCCUAAUGGCUAAUGAUGUAGCAUAUCUUUUCAUGUGCUUAUUUGCCAUCUUUAUAGCUUCUCUAUGAAGUAUCUUUUCAAAUCUUUUGCCCAUUUUUAAAAUGUUUAUGUUGUUUGUUUUCUUAUUAUUGAGUUUUGAGAGUUCUUUAUAGAUUCUAGAUAUUCUCAGAUGUGGUCUGGCUCCAUAUGGCCAGGAUAAACCAAUCACCAUGGAUGACAGAAUAUUUCCAAAGCUGAUUACUGAGUCUUGAAUAAUGUCAUGUGUAGGACAUCUUCUACCCUACCCUGCAGUGUAGUCUAUACACUGGGCCAAACCACUCUGUAAGGGAAAAAUACCUCCUGUGUCUCCCGUACUCUCACACUACUACCACACUUCACAUCACUUCUGCCACCAGAUGUGCUAGUUUUCCACACAUCUAGAAAUUCUGUCACACCAGCUGGGUGUCCCAUAAUUUAACUCAAUUCUGACACUAUUGGAGGUAGUAUCAGAUCACAUAGUUUAAGGUCUCAGUCCCACAAGACACCCCCCCCCCCCGCUUCAGAUGCCAAUUGCAAGUCCCAGGUUGUCACCUGUGUUUCUGACUGAUCAGCUAUACAUCUCACAACCUACUCCUUGGGUUUGAUAAUUUGCUACAAUGGCUCACAACUCAAGGAAAUAUUUAACUCAUGUUUGCCAGUUUAUUUUAAAAGGAUAUGACAAAGGAUACAGAUGAAUAUCCAGAUGGAAGAGAUGCAUAAGGCAAGGUAUGGGGGAAGGGACACAGAGCUUCCAUGUCCUUGCCAGGCAUGCCACCCUCCUGGUACCUCCAUCCUCCAUGUGUCCAGCCACCUGGAAGUUCCCUGUACUUUUGGGAUUUCUAUGGUGGCUUCAUCACAUAGGCAAGACUGAUUAUUAAUUCAGUCUCUAGCCUCUCUCCCCUUCCUGGAGGAUAGGGGGUGGAGCUGAAAGUUCCAAGCUUCUAAUCACAGCUUGGUCUUGCUGGUGACCAGCUCCCAUCCAGGAGCCCACCAACCACUGCCUCAUUAGAACAAAAGACACUCCUAUCAGUUAGAAAAUUACAAGUUUUAGGAGCUUUGUGCCAGGAACCAGGGGCAGAGACCAAUACAUACAUUUUCUAAUUAUUUCACACGCUCUAAGUCCUUUUCAUGGCUUUUUUUCUAGCAUGGGGAGAAGACAAGUUCAGACCUGCACAGUAACCUGCCUGCGGUCUAACAUUACAAUCUCCCAUGAGCAAAUGCUUUAACAAAAACACGCACACAUCUUCCAAGAAGCAUCACUUUCAGGGACACACCAGUCUACAGUUGCAAUCAGAAAAACAAAAAACAAAACCAGCUCUCUUACUGGAAAGCAUAUAGUCUUGCUAACACUUGUUUCCCUGAAUAAAAGGCUUAACAUUUUAAGCUUUCAGAUGCUUUACAAUUGCCUGCAGUUUAUCUUCACAGUGUCUGCAAGAGCAAUUGAUGGAUUCCUGCUUGUCAUUUGCAUUUUGCAGGUUCCAUUUUGGCAACUCUUCCCCAAAGCAAAGAUUUUCAUCUUUGCUUCUAGAGACAGAACAUCUAUAAUAUCAUUUCUUCAGCU